rnacentral:tRNA from 1 species
GGUGGCUCAGUGGUAGAGCGCUUGCCUUGCAUGCAUGAGGCCCUGGGUUUGCAUGCAUGAGGCCCUGGGUUUGAUUCCUCAGCACCA